GAUGAACGCUGGCGGCGUGCUUAACACAUGCAAGUCGAACGGAAAGGCCAGUGCUUGCACUGGUGCUCGAGUGGCGAACGGGUGAGUAACACGUGGGUGAUCUGCCCUGCACUUUGGGAUAAGCCUGGGAAACUGGGUCUAAUACCAGAUAGGACCAUGCUUUGGAUGGUGUGGUGGAAAGUUUUUUCGGUGUGGGAUGAGCUUGCGGCCUAUCAGCUUGUUGGUGGGGUAAUGGCCUACCAAGGCGUCGACGGGUAGCCGGCCUGAGAGGGUGUACGGCCACAUUGGGACUGAGAUACGGCCCAGACUCCUACGGGAGGCAGAAGUGGGGAAUAUUGCACAAUGGGCGCAAGCCUGAUGCAGCGACGCCGCGUGGGGGAGGACGGCCUUCGGGUUGUAAACUCCUUUCGCAACUGACGAAGCUUUUUGUGACGGUAGGUUGAGAAGAAGCACCGGCUAACUACGUG
rnacentral:rRNA from 1 species